UCUAGCUACUGCUGGCUCUGGCAAUGGUGGGCAAUUGCAGUUUGCUGGUGUUGCUACUAGGUUGGGCUGCUGCGUUGUGGUUGGGUUGUGUAGUAGUGCAAGGGAAGGAUUCAGCUGACAAGGCCUCUCAGCACUCCAAACCUCCCCAGGAGACCUGGGCUCUCCAGACCUCAGAGGCCAAGACCCCCCAGGAGCCUGGGUCCCCCCACCCAAAGGUGCUCGGUUUCUGCCUGGAAGAGGGAGCCUUGGCCAGUGGUAGCCUCAUCAAGGCUACCCCAGGGGCCACCUUUCGCCUGCGCCUUUAUGGUACUGGCCUCAGCAACCACAGCUGGCCUUGGGUGGCCUUUGUGCCGCUGGGAAGCUCCUGUGCAGUUCCUGAAGGGGGUUCUUCCUCCACACCCUCCCCUACUGGUGCCCCUGAAUUGCUUUUGCACGAUAUCCUGCCUGUUGGGGAAUAUGCAGUGCUGGUGACAGUGAAGGUGGCCUCUGUGGGCACCCAAGGCCAGUAUCAUCUUUGUAGCCUGGCAGGGCCUGGGAACCAGUGGGCUGCAGCUGCUCCUGGGGAUUCUAUUUUGGUGACAGAAGAUGAAGGUGGGGGUGGGAGGGUGGCAGCUGUGGCUUUGUCCCCUCCUUUGGCACCCUGGCUUCUGGGCACCCUCGUGGCCUUACUGCUCGCUUUCUUAGCCUUGCUCCGGGUUUUGCAGCUCAGCACUUUGUGGCUGGAUCCAGUGGAACUGUACGUGCUGCGGGACUGUGGUAUGGAAUCUGAGCGAGAGGCUUCCAAAGUUCUGGAGACUGUAAGACAACGUGGGACGUUUGUCCUUUGCUCUUUGCUACUCCUGAGUUCCUUGGCCAAUGCUGCCUUGGCAGUGCUUUUCUAUAGAGCGGUGGGAAUGUUGGUGCCUGCUAUCCUAGGUGUGGCCGCUUUGGUCUUUCUUUUAGCUGAGGUGCUGCCUUUCACCAUCAGUUCACGGUGGGGACUUUUGUUGGCCCCCCGUGGGCUCUGGCUCACCCAGCUCUUCAUGCUUCUAACCUUCCCUAUCUCGCUACCGCUCAGCAAGGUGCUGGAACUCGCAUUGCACCACGACACAAGUACAUGCCUCCUGCGGGAGAAGAUCCUGGACAUGGUGCGCAACAGUGACCCCUACAAUGAGUUUGUACGGGAGGAGUUCAGCAAAGGUGCCCUGCGCAACAAGACAGUUGAGGAUGUGCUGACACCGCUGGAUGAGUGUUUCAUGCUGAAUGCAAAUGCUGUGCUGGACUUCAGCAACAUGUCAAUGAUCAUGCAGAGCGGCUACACUCGCAUCCCUGUCUAUGAAGAUGAGCGCACCAACUUGGUGGACAUGCUUUACGUCAAGGAUUUGGCCAUGGUAGACCCUGACGACUGCACACCUCUCAGUACCAUCAUCAAGUUCUACAACCACCCGCUUCACUUUGUCUUCAAUGACACUAAGCUGGAUGCUGUGUUGGAGGAGUUCAAGCGAGGUAAAUCACAUAUGGCCAUUGUUCAGAAGGUAAACAAUGAAGGUGAAGGAGACCCCUUCUAUGAAGUCAUGGGCUUGGUGACAUUGGAAGAUGUCAUUGAGGAAAUCAUAAAAUCGGAGAUCAUGGAUGAGUCAGAUGACUACAGGGAGAACAAAAUGAAGAAGAAGCCUCCCCCUCUUGGGACCUUGGUGGAUCGCAGGAAAGAAGAUUUUUCCUUGUUCAAAGUGUCUGACAAUGAGUACAAGGUGAAAAUCUCCCCACAGCUACUGCUGGCUACACAGCGCUUCUUAUCUAGAGAGGUAGACCUCUUCAGUCCAGCCCGAAUCUCUGAGAAGGUCCUCUUGCACCUGCUGAAACACCCAAGUGUCAACCAAGACGUGAAAUUUGAUGAAAGCAACCGCCUGGCCCCUGAGCACUACCUGUACCAGCGCAACCAACCAGUCAAUUAUUUCAUCCUUAUCUUGCAGGGCAGGGUCGAAGUCGAGAUUGGAAAGGAGGGACUGAAGUUUGAAAAUGGAGCCUUCACGUAUUAUGGUGUCUCUGCACUGACAGCUCCAUCCUCAGUUCACCAGUCCCCAGUGUCUACCCUCAGGAUGAACCGUCGUGAUCAGCAACUGGAUGUUGGGGAGAGCAGUAACUACUCCAUGUACUGUCCUGACUACACUGUCAGAGCUCUCACUGACCUACAGUUCAUCAAGGUCACUCGGCUACAGUAUCUCAAUGCCCUCAUGGCCUCCCGGAUACAAAACUCACCCCAAUCACCUGAUGCCGUUGAACUGAAAAUCGUUCCCAGCAGCCAGACAAAGCUUCUGAAUGACAAAAAUGCUGCAGCAGCCUUCCCGCUAAACCUCUCUUUCUUUGGCACGAUUGAGAACUGCAUUUAAUACUGGCCCUCUCUGCCAGAGUCUGGAGUGGGUUUUUAUUUUCAAAAUCACAAGGCAAAAGCAGAAGCAAACUAAACCUUCUGGAUGAGGAGAGCCUCAGCCGGAGCACUGGGGUCUGACCUCCCGGUGGCUGCUGUCGAUCUGCAGGGGGAUGGGCUUGGGUGGAUCUCCUGGCUUGCACCCCUUCGUCCCACGAACAUCUCGGCUGGUGCCUGCAUCCUCGACUCUGGGGAAACUGGACGUCUUUUGCAGCCAAGUGGGCUGCGAGCCCCUUUGGGUGGCGGCUUCUGGUGCUUUGACCUGGCUGCGCACAGGAUUUCCCGCCCCUCCUUUUUUUUUAACAGAACUUGACUGGUGGUUGAGCUCAGCAGGGUCUCCAUUGACAGCAGCAACAGCCAGCCUGUGCCUAUAGACUCAGCUGCUUCUCCAGGAGCCUGUACGAGUUGGGAGGGGGUGUGGCGGCUAAGAAUCCCUACCAGGAAUAUAUCCCUGCCAGUAUUGAUGCCCCUUCCCUUGCAACAAAUCUCUCCCAUGGCCUCAUGCACGUGCCCCCCACUUUGUCGCACACAGUGGCAAGUUGCACUGGCAGCCUGGAGCAGGGGAGGGGGCAGUUUUGGAGUCCCUCCACAUCCCAUCUUGGCUCUGCAGCUGCUGUCUGGGAGGCAGCUUGUGCUGAACUCAUGCUGGGCCCUCCUUAGGCAUGGCUGAUGAGAGCCCCAAGUUUGUCCUGUGUCUGCUGUGAGAACAUGCAUUACAUGGAGCUGGUGUCCAGCUGCUCUGCCAAGUUGGCAUUAUCCAUGGUUGGAUGUUUCUUUAGGGACCUACUUCUCCUACCUUCCUGGGCCAUUGAUGUCACCUGCAUUGCUGGUCUUCUGUGUGCCAGGUCUCCCCACGUCUGGCCAUCCUUGCUCCGGGCCAGAUAUGGCAUCACCCAAUCUUGUUUCCCACUCCCACUUUGUCCAAAUUGUGCCAAAGUCCACAAUCUCUGCAGCCACACUGCAAUCCUGAAAUUCAGCUUGCCAACUGUGCCUCCACCCUUUCCCAGGUCCCUGAUUCCCAAGGGCUGCCUGUGCCAACUAGGGGAGUGCUGCCUUUCUGCAAAGGAACCCCUGCUUCCCAGGGAUGGACUCUCUCACUCUCUCUUCCCCUCCUCUCCCCAUCCCUCCCCUCCCUCCCUUUCCCCUGUAACACAACCUAGGCUUUAACUGUGCCCUGGGCACCAGCAACGACAGCAAAGGCAAACUGUGACUGCUUCACAGUGGACUUUAUCAAAUUUUGAGGUGCAGCCCCCCACAAACCCCCUCCUGCCUUUCCAUGCAAACUAUUUGGGGGUGCUGUCCUGAUUUAGGCAUCCAGUGCACUGGCCCUCUUGUCUCAACCCCUGCUUGCCAAAGCAUGAUGAAGUUCUGCAGCAUUUUGUGGACAUUUGCCCAAGAAGGCCCACUGAGGAAGUCUUAACCGGGUACUGCAUCUCCUAUGGCUGCUCCUGAUUCCUUCCUGUCUGUGUGCUUAGAAGAGCAGCUGCUGUUUGGUUUUCUUUGGACUCAUCCUCUGCCUCAGUCAUCAGGUUCAGGCCCAAGAGGCAUUCUUAGAUGACUUGGUUUGCCCUUGUCCGUAGGGAGGCCUCCACUCCAGCAUUGGCAGAGAGACUGGCUUUUUUUUCCUAGUUGCUACUAACAGUAUUUUUCCCAGAGUUCCUAUUUUUUAAAGGAAAUAACAAGACAAGAGGAGCAAGGGAGAGGAGGAGGGCGGGAUUCCUCACUCUUCUUUUCUCUCUCUUCCACAAUGACAGUUGACCUCUAAAAGCAAUGUAUAAUUUCAGGUAAAUUAUUGGGUACCUGCCUUUAUGUUGUAGUUUUUUCCCCAUAAGGACUGUACCUUCAAAUGGAAUAGUCUAAUCUUUAAACGUGUCUAUUUAAAAGUCAUUGGUCUG